UACGGCCAUAUCACAUUGAAGCAUCGGUUCCCGUAGAAUCACCGUAGUUAAGCAACGUCGGGCCUGGUCAGUACUCUGGUGGGUGACUGAUUGAGAUUACAAGUUGCUGUAA